UGCCAUUUGAAGAAGAGCAAAAACAAGCAGAAAUUACCCCAGCAGUUAUCCCCUUGGCUGCUUUAGAUUCAUUAACCGCAGUCGAUCUGCAAACACAUAGCCUAUUUGAAAGAUUAGUGGAAUCUGUGUGGGUAGCUGGACAGGUAGGAUGACUGACAGUGAGGGUGAACAGGUGGUCACGGGUCAGGUGACAGAGGAAUGGAUGAGACUGAGGCAGGAAUUCCUUUAACCAUAAAGUGGUAUAUUUACUGGGUAGUCUGUGCUGCAUAACAAAGGAAAUAGAAUAACGUGUAUCCAAUCAAAUCCAUCAUCACAAAGAUCUAAUCAUAACAAUCAUUCAUUAUUAACAUCAUUUAGGGAAUUCAACAAUCCAGUUCAUUACGUCAAUAGGAAUCAUCGGGCCGGAAUCAUUGACCAGUCACAUUACACAAAAUGUUUGAAGCGUGCGCUCCAAGCCGGGCUCUGCGAUAAUAACUUCAAACAACAACUGAUGGCCCACUCUCCCGAUCGCAACAGAUAGUUCAGAUGAAUGUUCAGAUGAUAGGGAACAGAGUCGGUGGAUUCAUGGACGCACAGAACUUCUGGAUUUGACAGAGUGAAGGAAGAGAAAGCAGCGCGAUCAGGCGAUGGUGAUUUCCUCCUUUUAUGGAGUGGAGAUCUGUCGGACAUUUCCACCUGACCUAAGACUUUCCGGCCUCACCACUGAGCGCCACAUCACUGUCUGUCUCAGUAGCCUACUCUCUGAAGCGAAGUUAUAAUGAGG
rnacentral:lncRNA from 1 species